rnacentral:rRNA from 1 species
UAGGGAAUUUUCCACAAUGGGCGAAAGCCUGAUGGAGCAACGCCGCGUGCAGGAUGAAGGCCUUCGGGUCGUAAACUGCUUUUAUGAGUGAUGAUUAUGACAGUAGCUCAAGAAUAAGGGUCGGCUAACUACGUGCCAGCAGCCGCGGUCAUACGUAGGACUCAAGCGUUAUCCGGAAUUACUGGGCGUAAAGAGUUGCGUAGGCGGCUUAUUAAGCAAGAUGUGAAAGCACACGGCUCAACCGUGUAAA